rnacentral:lncRNA from 1 species
GUGUUGUGUAACUCUGAACACAUGAAGACCAGCAAGGAUUCUGCAGAAAUAAGCUGGGAAAAGUCAGCUGACGGGCAGAGCAUCCGUGCAGAGACCUCAAAAGAACCAGGACAUAAUUCUACCAUCCAUGGUAAAGCUUUCAAGAUCCACCAUUCUGAAGUGUCUAGAACACACAGUGUGUCAAGUAAUAGUAAAGGGAAGCAGCCUGACAAAAUCUAUAAGGCCCGUACGAGUAAUGAGCACAGCCAGGUGCCUCUUCAGUGAAACUACUAGUGUAAUUUCAGAGGCUCUUACGUGAAACCGUUCCAAACACUGGGAGGUACUGUACCUGUUGCAUUUGUUACUUUGACACUGAGGAUGAAGAUGCUAUCCCCAAACAUAAAAGUUUCAGGAAUAAAAAGUACAAAAGAAGACUGGUUAAAGUGCAUCCCUACAAGGACAAAGAUGCCUGAAUCAAGCCAAGAAAUAGAUAGUGCUGGCUCAAGACUUUCUAAGAGAAGCUUCAGCGCAGAUGAAUUUGAAACACUACAAAACCCAGUAAAAGACUCAAAUGUCAUGUUCCGGACCUACAAAAAGAUGUACCUUGAGAAGAGAAGCAGAAGCCUCGGGAGUAGUCCAGUUAAAUAGUCACAUGAGGGUAGCGGUUUUUGUUUUUACCACCAGGACAUCUC